rnacentral:tRNA from 1 species
GGAUGGGUGGCCGAGCGGUUUAAGGCAGCGGUCUUGAAAACCGCCAGGGGGCAACCCCUCGUGGGUUCGAAUCCCACCCCAUCCGCCA